UACAGGGGGGGCAAGCGUUGUUCGGAAUUACUGGGCGUAAAGGGCUCGUAGGCGGCCAACUAAGUCAGACGUGAAAUCCCUCGGCUUAACCGGGGAACUGCGUCUGAUACUGGAUGGCUAGAGGUUGGGAGAGGGAUGCGGAAUUCCAGGUGUAGCGGUGAAAUGCGUAGAUAUCUGGAGGAACACCCGAGGCGAAGGCGGCUCUCUGGGUCGUACCUGACGCUGAGGCGCGAAAGCGUGGGGAGCGAACGGG
rnacentral:rRNA from 1 species